UACGUAGGGGGCAAGCGUUGUCCGGAUUUACUGGGCGUAAAGAGCUCGUAGGUGGUUUGUCGCGUUGUUCGUGAAAACUCACAGCUUAACUGUGGGCGUGCGGGCGAUACGGGCAGACUGGAGUACUGCAGGGGAGACUGGAAUUCCUGGUGUAGCGGUGGAAUGCGCAGAUAUCAGGAGGAACACCGGUGGCGAAGGCGGGUCUCUGGGCAGUAACUGACGCUGAGGAGCGAAAGCGUGGGGAGCGAACAGG
rnacentral:rRNA from 1 species